rnacentral:tRNA from 1 species
GGGGAUGUGGCUUAGUGGUAGAGCACUUGCCUCACAUGUGCAAGACCCUGGGUUCGAUCCUCAGCACCACA